CGCUCGAACGAAAGUGAGACCAUCCAAUCUUUUUGGAUCCCAUUCCUUUCCAUUCAUUUCGAUUUGGAGACUUACGGGUCUAUUCGUACUGGAAGAAGAAUGAGCAGGUGGAAAGGUGUGCCUAUUUGGCCAACAUUCAAAGCGGGUUACCGAGCCACCAAAAACAAUUAAACUGAAUUACCACCUGCAGAACCAUUUGACGACCAUUACUCAAAGCAGUUUGCACUGCGUUCCAGCUGGACAUUCAGCUUUUAAUGGCCUUUCUCUUGGUCCAGAUUAGAAAACAGCAUGCCAGUUGGUCUGCAGUGCUUGAUAAGUAAUUACGGAAUAAUAAAAAUUCCACAGUAACUCAAAUGGUGCCGACGAGCGUUACCACGUGCGGUGGGUCUGCUAAUCGGCAAAUGGAGCUGGUUCACAGCAAUUCCCCAAGAUGAUUAUCCAGCAAGUGCAACUGAAACUCCGAGGAAGGGUCUGGCUUAACAUCUGUUAUUAUUAUUCCGAUGCAGUCAUCGAUUGGCCUGCAAAGGGGCCUUAAUCAGGACGCCGCAAUUCAAACACACGUAAUUAGAGCCCCCUGUAAUUGUGGGGAUGUGGAAUACAGAGGGGAAAACUAUUAAAGAAAGUACAACCAUUCCUAAAUGUUUUAAGACUAGGUCCUAAAUUAUGUGUAAAAGAAGGAAUUAAAUCCAAA